UACGUAGGGUGCAAGCGUUGUCCGGAAUUAUUGGGCGUAAAGAGCUCGUAGGCGGUUUGUCGCGUCGAAUGUGAAAACCCGGGGCUCAACCCCGGGCCUGCAUUCGAUACGGGCAGACUAGAGUUCGGUAGGGAGUCGUGGAAUUCCUGGUGUAGCGGUGAAAUGCGCAGAUAUCAGGAGGAACACCGGUGGCGAAAGGCGGGACUCUGGGCCGAUACUGACGCUGAGGAGCGAAGCGUGGGAGCAACAGG
rnacentral:rRNA from 1 species